GGCGUCCUCCUCGCGGCCCGGGAGGCCCCGGUACAGGGCCAUCUGCCAGCGCAAAGAAGGGGAGCCUUCGACCUGAGGGGCGGAAGGACAGACAGCCUGCGUGAGGGCCCCUCCCCAGCCGGGCCCCUCCGCGCGCGCGAGGGAGAGAGGGAACGCAAGCAGGGGGAAUGGGAGUGGGAGAAGCAGGCUUCCCGCCGAGCAGGGAGCCCAAUGCGGGGCUCCAUCCCAGAACCUCGGGACCACGACCCGAGCCGAAGGCAGACGCCCAACGACUGAGCCACCCAGACUUCAAUGCCUGGUACAGAGAGUGAGUUCCCAAGAAUGAAAGAAAGAUGCAGAACCAUAAAGAGUCUCAGGAGACAAAAGAAGUUGGAAGAAACAGAGAGACAGGAGAGAAGGAGACGGACAAGAAGAUGGAGAGGCAGAAGAUGGAAGAGAGAUCCAGAACGAUCUGGAAGCAGAAACACGGGGCACGGAGUCCCACAGCCGUGUUCUGGAGCCUUGGGUGCAGACCCGGGGCCAAGGCCACCCCAGUCAUGCCAAAGAGAAGCCCCAGUGACAAGCUUUGACAAGCCCCAGUGACAAGCUUCUGGCCACAUCUACCCGGCUCACAGUAUGGAGCAUGGCCCACGUAUGUGCCAAGACUGCUGAGGCCGCACAUGCAGCAUCCCACUGGGUCCUCGCAGAGCCCUGGGGCCAGGAGCCACUGGGCAGAUGCCGGUCGAGGCUCAAAAAAUAAGACACUUGACUAAGGCCGCACAACCAACUGCCAAGAGUCAGGAUCCAAAUCCAAGUCUAUCUGGUUCCAGAAACCAAGCCUUAAACCCUUCCAUGCACGUGCCUGGCCACCCCAUUCCCAUUCCCCGUGACCUCAGACCAUAAUGCUUUG